rnacentral:rRNA from 1 species
UACGGGAAGGCAGCAGUGGGGAAUAUUGCACAAUGGGCGCAAGCCUGAUGCAGCCAUGCCGCGUGUAUGAAGAAGGCCUUCGGGUUGUAAAGUACUUUCAGUCGUGAGGAAGGUGUUAAGGUUAAUAACCUUAGCAAUUGACGUUAGCGACAGAAGAAGCACCGGCUAACUCCGUGCCAGCAGCCGCGGUAAUACGGAGGGUGCGAGCGUUAAUCGGAAUUACUGGGCGUAAAGGGCACGCAGGCGGUUAAUUAAGUUGGAUGUGAAAUCCCCGGGCUUAACCUGGGAAUGGCAUUCAAGACUGGUUAGCUAGAGUCUUGUAGAGGGGGUAGAAUUCCAUGUGUAGCGGUGAAAUGCGUAGAGAUGUGGAGGAAAUACCGGUGGGCGAAGGGCGGGCCCCGUGGGACAAAAGACUGACGCUCAUGUGCG